rnacentral:rRNA from 1 species
AUGAGGAGACCAACCCAAGCGCAUCUCGCCGGCACUGCCGCGCUCUUCCUGCUACUGGCAGCCACCAUGCCGGCGACGGCAGUUGCCGUGGUGUCUUCCGAGGCCGAUGCCCUUCUAGCAUGGAAGGCCAGCCUCGUCAACGCGACCGCGCUAUCUAACUGGACCCAGGCCACGCCGGUCUGUGACUGGGAUCGGGUGCACUGCAACAAUGAAAGCGCCGUGGUGGAACUAAGACUAAAUGUACUCGGUCUAUCAGGCGGGCUCGAUACGCUCGACACAGUGGCGUUCCCGGCGCUCGCCUAUCUGGACCUUAGCAUCAACCACCUUGGCGGUGCCAUCCCGGCCAGCAUCUCGCGGCUGCGCUCCCUCAAAUCACUCGACCUCAGCUAUAAUGGCUUUAAUGGCUCCAUCCCGCCGCAAUUUGGUGACAUGCCAAGCCUCGGCGACCUCAUUCUCAACAGCAACAGGCUCGUCGGCAAUAUCCCGCGGCAGCUCUGCAGGCUCAUCUCCACACGGAUACUGCGAAUCUCUGAAAACCAGCUCAGCGGAGAGCUUCCCAACUGCUG